ACCAUAGCAUAGAUUAUGAGUGUAUGUUUGAUACCACGGUAGAAGGGCGAAAAGUGUAUUCAUACGAAUAAAAUUGAUUUUGACAAGUUUAGGUGAUGUUGAUUGACAUUGAUUUUGCUUUUAUAGUUGAUUUUAAGUUGAAGUUAGGAUUUGUAGCUUUUGAUUCUAAAUGUGUACCUUCUGACUCUAAAUGAGAUUUUUACACUCAAAUUUAUCGUUCAAAUAAACCACUUGUGUUUCACUUUCAGGGAAGCAACGCAAAGUGGCGGAUUAUUACAAGAAGCAGGAGAGACUCCUUGAAGGAUUUAAUGAAAUGGAGACUAUGCAUGAAACUGGUUUUUUCCCAGGAGGUCUCACUGAGGACGAAAUGAAGCAACUUGCAAAGAAUGAGAGGAUGGCAGUUCAUGUGUCAAAUGCAUGCAACUUGGUGCUGUUUGCUGGCGAGCAGAUCAUUAGCAGUUAUUGCAUCAACACUAGAUUCCUUUGUAAGGUUUCUUGUGGUUUACUUCUAAUUCGAUGAGAAAGCCAAACCGAUAUCACUAUCCUAUUGGAAAGAAACGCAUCCAACCAGUGGUAUGGGUAUCGUUGUUUUUGCACCCGUGAUGCAUGGUAACCUUGGGCUUGCAGAUUUUGAUAAAUUCCGGUUGGCAAAUUAUUGCAAAGGCUAAGCCUGAAGUGGAUCAAAUAAAGUUGAAUUGAAUGAUCUGGAUUAUGAUAUUCGUGACUGUAGUGAAGUUCAUUCUUAUGGUCUACUGUUGAAGAUUUAAAAAUGAAAUCGUCAGAGCGUUUGCACAAGAUCAUUUAUUCGAUGUCAUUACUAAAUCCGUUGGAUUAGCCGCUGCUGUUCUAGCUAUCAAGUUUCACUGGUGGAUUGAUCCAACAGGAGAUAUUGUUAUUGAGAAUGUUUUUUCACUCAUCGGUAGAACAACACCAC